rnacentral:rRNA from 1 species
UACGAAGGGGGCUAGCGUUGCUCGGAAUCACUGGGCGUAAAGGGUGCGUAGGCGGGUUUUUAAGUCAGGGGUGAAAUCCUGGAGCUCAACUCCAGAACUGCCUUUGAUACUGAAGAUCUUGAGUUCGGGAGAGGUGAGUGGAACUGCGAGUGUAGAGGUGAAAUUCGUAGAUAUUCGCAAGAACACCAGUGGCGAAGGCGGCUCACUGGCCCGAUACUGACGCUGAGGCACGAAAGCGUGGGUAGCAAACGGG